AGAGUUUGAUCCUGGCUCAGGACGAACGCUGGCGGCGUGCUUAACACAUGCAAGUCGAACGAUGAACCUGGAGCUUGCUCUAGGGGAUUAGUGGCGAACGGGUGAGUAACACGUGAGUAACCUGCCCUUGACUCUGGGAUAACCUCCGGAAACGGAAGCUAAUACCGGAUACGACGUACGGAGGCAUCUCCUGUACGUGGAAAGAACUUCGGUCAAGGAUGGACUCGCGGCCUAUCAGGUAGUUGGUGAGGUAACGGCCCACCAAGCCUACGACGGGUAGCCGGCCUGAGAGGGUGACCGGCCACACUGGGACUGAGACACGGCCCAGACUCCUACGGGAGGCAGCAGUGGGGAAUAUUGCACAAUGGGCGCAAGCCUGAUGCAGCAACGCCGCGUGAGGGAUGACGGCCUUCGGGUUGUAAACCUCUUUUAGUAGGGAAGAAGCGAAAGUGACGGUACCUGCAGAAAAAGCACCGGCUAACUACGUGCCAGCAGCCGCGGUAAUACGUAGGGUGCGAGCGUUGUCCGGAAUUAUUGGGCGUAAAGAGCUCGUAGGCGGUCUGUCGCGUCUGCUGUGAAAACCCGAGGCUCAACCUCGGGCCUGCAGUGGGUACGGGCAGACUAGAGUGCGGUAGGGGAGAAUGGAAUUCCUGGUGUAGCGGUGGAAUGCGCGGAUAUCAGGAGGAACACCGAUGGCGAAGGCAGUUCUCUGGGCCGUAACUGACGCUGAGGAGCGAAAGCGUGGGGAGCGAACAGGAUUAGAUACCCUGGUAGUCCACGCCGUAAACGUUGGGCGCUAGAUGUGGGGACCAUUCCACGGUUUCCGUGUCGCAGCUAACGCAUUAAGCGCCCCGCCUGGGGAGUACGGCCGCAAGGCUAAAACUUAAAGGAAUUGACGG
rnacentral:rRNA from 1 species